UACGUAGGGGGCAAGCGUUGUCCGGAAUCAUUGGGCGUAAAGAGCGUGUAGGCGGCCCGAUAAGUCCGCCGUGAAAGUCCAGGGCUCAACCCUGGAAUGCCGCUGGAAACUGUCUGGCUAGAGUCCGGAAGGGGCGAGUGGAAUUCCGGGUGUAGCGGUGAAAUGCGCAGAUAUCAGGAGGAACACCAAUGGCGAAGGCAGCUCGCUGGGACGGUACUGACGCUGAGGCGCGAAAGCGUGGGGAGCAAACAGG
rnacentral:rRNA from 1 species